GCGCAUGCGCGAGGCCCGAGCCGCCGCUUUGGUCACAGUGACCGCCACCGUCGCCGGGGGAUGGGUCCCUGAGACUUGGCGAAGUAGGAGCCCUGUGUGAUCGUGCGUCAGAGUCGGGGCUGAGACCAGCCCUGGCCAGGGCAGUUACCAGGACGGUCUCCGGAGGCCGGGAUUCGCGGAGGGUCCACCAGCAGGAAGAAACCCCAGGAGGAAGAAACCUCAGACAGAUCGCCGGGGAGGCAGCGCGGGAUCCCAGCCUCAGGCGUGCGCGGACGGUGUGCGGGUCACAAAGCCUACUGCCUGCUAAUCAGCAAGUGGACCUGUUUCUCUAACAAUGGCCCGAAACUUCACAACAUCAAAGGAGAAAUCAUUGCCAGCAAAAGCAUUUCCGGGUAGUAGGAAAGAAUACAAGUGAAUAACAUUAGUCCAGAAGUUUUAAUAAUAUUCUUUGCUGGUUGAAAUUCAUGUUUAAUAUGAUGUAAAUUACUUGAUAAGCAAAUUAAGAACUAUGCUACUACAGACUCCAAAUAAGACGCAAGAAAAAUGAGAGGAAAUACAUUAAAGGAAAAUCUUAAAAAAACAGCUGCACAGAAGAUAAAUUAUUUUUCCAGGAGUUUUAAACAUAGUUGCUUUUGUUUGUUUGCUUUGCUGUUUUUUCUUAAUAAUUGUUUUAGUAAGCUCAGGCUGCUAUAUAAAAAUAAGAUAGGCGCUGGUCUGAACAAUAGACAUUUAUUUCUUAUAGUUCUUGAACCUGGCAAGUCUGAGGAGGGUCAUCUUCUGGGCUUUCAAAGGGCUGCCUUUUUCCUAUGUACGUACAUAGUGAAUAGAAAGCGUUAGCUCUCUGGUCUCUUCCUGUAAGAGCACUAAUCCCAUCAUGAAGACCCCAUCCUUAUGGGCUCAUCUAAACCUAAUUACUUCCAAAGGUCCCACCUCCAAAUGCUAACACAUUGAGAGUUAAGGCUUCAAUAUAUUAAUUUUGGGGAAACAAGACACAGUCCAUAUCAAAUAUAUAUAUAUAUAAUAUAUAUGUAUAAUAUAUAUGUAUACUAUAUAUGUAUAUAAUAUGUAUGUAUAAUAUAUAUACAAAUAUAUAUAAUAUAUAUUACAUAUACCCAAAUAUAUAUAUUAUAUAUAUUUGUAUAUAUAUUAUAUAUAUUUGUAUAUAUAUUAUAUAUAUUUGUAUAUAUAUUAUGUAUGUUAUGUAAUACAACUAUAUACACUCUAAAAAGGCAGUGGAAUAUAGACAUACUUCAAUUGAUUGUGCUUUGCUUCACUUGGCUUCACAGAUAAUGUGUUUUACACAAAUUGAAGGUUUAUGACCACCCUGCAUCAAGCAACUUUAUUGGCACCACUUUGUAAUAGCAUGUGUUCAUUUGUAUCUCUGUGCCAUAUCUAGGUAAAUCUCACAAUAUUUCAAACUUUUUAACUAUAAUUAUAUUUGAUAUGAUAAUCUGUAACCAGUGACCUUUGGUGUUACUAUUGUAAUUGUUUUGGGCACCAUGAACCACAUCCAUAUAAGACAAUGAAUUUAAUCAAUAAAUGUGUGUGUUCUGACUGCUCCACCAACUUAGACA
rnacentral:lncRNA from 1 species